rnacentral:rRNA from 1 species
GACGAACGCUGGCGGCGUGCCUAAUACAUGCAAGUAGAACGCACAGUUUAUACCGUAGCUUGCUACACCAUAGACUGUGAGUUGCGAACGGGUGAGUAACGCGUAGGUAACCUGCCUGGCAGCGGGGGAUAACUACUGGAAACGAUAGCUAAUACCGCAUAAUAUUAAUUAUUGCAUGAUAAUUAAUUGAAAGGUGCAAUUGCACCACUACCAGAUGGACCUGCGUUGUAUUAGCUAGUAGGUGAGGUAACGGCUCACCUAGGCGACGAUACAUAGCCGACCUGAGAGGGUGAUCGGUCACACUGGGACUGAGACACGGCCCAGACUCCUACGGGAGGCAGCAGUAGGGAAUCUUCGGCAAUGGACGAAAGUCUGACCGAGCAACGCCGCGUGAGUGAAGAAGGUUUUCGGAUCGUAAAGCUCUGUUGUAAGAGAAGAACGGGUGUGAGAGUGGAAAGUUCACACUGUGACGGUAUCUUACCAGAAAGGGACGGCUAACUACGUG